UUUAGAUUAUAUAGCUAUUAUAAGAUAUAUUAUUAAAGGUAUCAAUAAUAUACAUGUGGCAUCGAAGUUGUUAGAAGCUGAUAUUUUACAUUUUAAAUAAAGUUGUAUCCUUGAAAGAUAUGCUGGUAUUAUUGACACAAUGGGCAAGCAUUGAAGGGCAACUUGGGGAACUGCAAAGCGCAUCAAAAGUAGUUAUAAAAAUUUGAGUAACAAAAGUAUGAUAAUUAUUGUAUUGCCUGAAAGUCAUUGUCAUUAAAAGCAGUGAAGAAAUCAAUAAAAGCUAAAUUGAUACAUUUGCCGAAGAUCAGAGAAAAGUUGUCAAUUAAAGUUAGACUAGGCUAACAAUAAUAAAAUUUACAUUAAGUAAAUUGCCAUUAAAAGCAGUGAAGAAAUCAAGUACUCUGGAAGAAAAAAGACAAGAAAACACUUAAGUUAAAGACGAAGGAGAUUGUAUAUGUUAUUUACUAAGAAUAGUUUUUUAAAAUGGCCUAGCUGUAAAAUUAAAUUAUGCAGGGAGAGGACAAAAAAUUGAAAAAUGUUGAUUGCAUAUGCUGCUAUUGAAACUGUGAAGUCAAAUAAGCAUGGCUUAUGCAGACAAGUGAUAGAGAUAGCGAAAGAAAAAAUAAUAAUCGUGGGCACCAAAUAUCAUAAGCUAAACACGAUUCAAUAACAAGUAGCUCAGCCAAUAUCGAAACUACUCUAUAAAUUUUAUAGUGAAUUUUC